UACAGAGGUCCCAAGCGUUGUUCGGAUUCAUUGGGCGUAAAGGGUGCGUAGGCGGCGCGGUAAGUCGGGUGUGAAAUCUCGGGGCUUAACUCCGAAACUGCAUUCGAUACUGCCGUGCUUGAGGACUGGAGAGGAGACUGGAAUUUACGGUGUAGCGGUGAAAUGCGUAGAUAUCGUAAGGAAGACCAGUGGCGAAGGCGGGUCUCUGGGCCGAUACUGACGCUGAGGAGCGAAAGCGUGGGGAGCAAACAGG
rnacentral:rRNA from 1 species